GCGAGGGUAACCAAGCCUGGUCAACGGUGGCAGACUCAAGAUCUGUUCUUGCAGAAGUUCGCGGGUUCAAAUCCCUCCCCUCGCA
rnacentral:tRNA from 1 species